AUAAGAUAAAUACUUGGUCUUGAUAUAUUUUUUUGGUCCAGAAUUUCCAGAUGUCUUCAGCCAUUUCAGCCAUGGAUAAGGUAAAGAAAAAAUAUCGUAAGUGAAACACAGAAGUAGGCACAUAAUCCCAAUCCAGGAGAACAAGGCCGGAGAAACCCAGGUGAUUGUUUCACUCAAAGGAAGAAAGGAAUCACCAUCCUCUAAUGACCUUAGUCAGUUUAAAAUACAAACAAAAGGUGCCUUAUUUACUUGAGCAGAGUGUAGGGGAAUGACAACUAGCCACAUCUGGCUGAUAGUUCCAGCAAAUGCAGACAACCA
rnacentral:lncRNA from 1 species